rnacentral:rRNA from 1 species
AUUGAACGCUGGCGGCACGCUUAACACAUGCAAGUCGGACGGCAGCACGGGUACUUGUACCUGGUGGCGAGUGGCGGACGGGUGAGUAAUGCUUAGGAAUCUACCAUGAAGUGGGGGACAACACGGGGAAACUCGUGCUAAUACCGCAUAUGUUUUUAAAGUAAAGAUGGCCUCUACUUGUAAGCUAUCGCUUUGUGAUGAGCCUAAGUCGGAUUAGCUUGUUGGUGGGGUAAAGGCCUACCAAGGCGACGAUCCGUAGCUGGUCUGAGAGGAUGAUCAGCCACACUGGGACUGAGACACGGCCCAGACUCCUACGGGAGGCAGCAGUGGGGAAUAUUGGACAAUGGGGGCAACCCUGAUCCAGCGAUGCCGCGUGUGUGAAGAAGGCCUGCGGGUUGUAAAGCACUUUAGUUGGGGAGGAGAGGUUUUGUGAGAAUAUUGCAAAGCUGAGACGUUACCCAAAGAAUAAGCACCGGCUAACUCUG